GUACUCCAGCUGUUUUUGGACUACAAUCCCCAUCAUCCCUGACCACUGAUCCUGCUAAUUAGGGAUGGUGGGAGUUGUAGUCCAAAAACAGCUGGAGUAC